GAUUGUCAGGAGUUAGGAAAUGUAAGGGUGUUAAUAGCAUCUUUACUUGACUAAGGCUCCGGAGGAAGCCACGGCUAACUCUGUGCCAGCAGCCGCGGUAAUACAGAGGCGGCAAGCGUUGUUCGGAAUUAUUGGGCGUAAAGAGCACGUAGGCGGCCUUGUAAGUCAGUUGUGAAAGCCUUCUGCUUAACGGAAGAACAGCAUCUGAUACUGCAAGGCUAGAGUGCGGAAGGGGAGAGG
rnacentral:rRNA from 1 species